AUACGGAGGGGGCUAGCGUUGUUCGGAAAUACUGGGCGUAAAGCGAACGUAGGCGGCUUGGCAAGUCAGGGGUGAAAUCCCAGUGCUCAACACUGGAACUGCCUUUGAAACUGCCAGGCUUGAAUCCUGGAGAGGCGAGUGGAAUUCCGAGUGUAGAGGUGAAAUUCGUAGAUAUUCGGAAGAACACCAGUGGCGAAGGCGACUCGCUGGACAGGUAUUGACGCUGAGGUUCGAAAGCGUGGGGAGCAAACAGGAUUAGAUACCCUGGUAGUCCACGCCGUAAACGAUGAUAACUAGCUGUCCGGGCACAUGGUGUUUGGGUGGCGCAGCUAACGCAUUAAGUUAUCCGCCUGGGGAGUACGGUCGCAAGAUUAAA
rnacentral:rRNA from 1 species